rnacentral:rRNA from 1 species
CAGCAGCCACGGUAAUACGAAGGGUGCAAGCGUUACUCGGAAUUACUGGGCGUAAAGCGUGCGUAGGUGGUGGUUUAAGUCCGUUGUGAAAGCCCUGGGCUCAACCUGGGAAUUGCAGUGGAUACUGGCAAGCUAGAGUGUGUCAGAGGAUGGUGGAAUUCCCGGUGUAGCGGUGAAAUGCGUAGAGAUCGGGAGGAACAUCAGUGGCGAAGGCCGCCAUCUGGGACAACACUGACGCUGAGGCACGAAAGCGUGGGGAGCAAACAGGAUUAGAUACCCCUGUAGUCCCUGUCUCUUAUAC